rnacentral:lncRNA from 1 species
UUUCCUAGCCCCCAGACUUUCUCUCGCUCUCUAGCCGCUUUCCUUCUUCACUCUCCCAAAAAACCCCCCCUCUAGUCUUCUGAUUUUUCCCUGUUCUUUCUUUUUCCUUGCAGCUCUCUGAAGCCCAGUCCGCCGCCCCUAGUCUGUCCUCUAUUUUUUUAUUUUCUUGCUUGGUCGCCUAGCUUUUCUUCUUUCCUCCCUCAGCUUCAUUAGUUUUUUCUGCGUUCCUCUAGCCGCUCCCCCUCUGUGUUUUUCUUGUUCUGUUUUGCUCUGUUUUUCUUUCUUUUCAGCUCUCAGCCCAGCCGAAGCCCUCUCUUCCAUUUUCC